UACGUAGGGGGCGUAGCGUUGUCCGGAUUUAUUGGGCGUAAAGAGCGUGUAGGCGGCCAGGUAGGUCCGUUGUGAAAACUCGAGGCUCAACCUCGAGACGUCGAUGGAAACCAUCUGGCUAGAGUCCGGAAGAGGAGAGUGGAAUUCCUGGUGUAGCGGUGAAAUGCGCAGAUAUCAGGAAGAACACCUAUGGCGAAGGCAGCUCUCUGGGACGGUACUGACGCUGAGACACGAAAGCGUGGGGAGCGAACAGG
rnacentral:rRNA from 1 species